UGGGGAAUAUUGCACAAUGGGCGCAAGCCUGAUGCAGCGACGCCGCGUGAGGGAUGGAGGCCUUCGGGUUGUAAACCUCUUUCGCCAGUGAAGCAGGCCAUCUUCUUUGUGGGGUGGUUGACGGUAGCUGGAUAAGAAGCGCCGGCUAACUACGUGCCAGCAGCCGCGGUAAUACGUAGGGCGCGAGCGUUGUCCGGAAUUAUUGGGCGUAAAGAGCUCGUAGGCGGCUGGUCGCGUCUGUCGUGAAAUCCCCUGGCUUAACUGGGGGCUUGCGGUGGGUACGGGCCGGCUUGAGUGCGGUAGGGGAGACUGGAAUUCCUGGUGUAGCGGUGGAAUGCGCAGAUAUCAGGAGGAACACCGGUGGCGAAGGCGGGCCUCUGGGCCGUUACUGACGCUGAGGAGCGAAAGCGUGGGGAGCGAACAGG
rnacentral:rRNA from 1 species